UCCUAGCAAGGGGAAAAAAAAUAGAAGAAGAAGUAGAAGAAGAAGAUGAGACGUAGUUGGUUUCUGUUCUUUUGAUAAAGUGGUGCUCAUUGUUAUCAAAGGCGUGCCUCAGGCAAAGGGUGCACUAGGCACAGGUGGCAUCACCUGACAGAAGGAGAGGGACGGCGUCUCAUUGAGGCGCACCAAGGCGUGAGGUGCAGAAAGGCUCGGCCCAUGGAGUAAGGAGUAGGAGGUUAAAAAUUAAAUAUAAAUUA
rnacentral:misc_RNA from 1 species